AACUUACAAAAAUCCGUCGAUUUUUUAAUCAUGAGG
rnacentral:tRNA from 1 species